UACGUAGGGGGGCGAGCGUUGUCCGGAGUUACUGGGCGUAAAGGGCAUGCAGGCGGUCGGACGCGUUUCGGGUGACAGCGGGUGGCUUAACUACCCGAGUGGUCGAAAGACGGUUUGACUUGAGGACGCGAGAGGGACACGGAAUUCCGGGUGGAGUGGUGAAAUGCGUAGAUAUCAGGAGGAACACCUGUGGUGUAGACAGCUUACUGGACCAUUUCUGACGCUGAGACACGAAAGCGUGGGUAGCAAACAGG
rnacentral:rRNA from 1 species